AAUGCAAAGCCAUAAACAAAUGCAGCAGAGCUUCAUCGCAUUACAAUCAGCGCAGCCAUUUUCACCGUGGCAGGGCAAACGCACCGUACCAGCAUCAAUACACAGGCCAGGAUGAGCAGCCAGCCCGAGAAAACUCC